CGGACGGCUGAGUAACGCGUGGGUGACCUGCCCCGAAGUGGGGAAUAACUGCCCGAAAGGGUGGCUAAUACCGCAUGUGGUAGUGUAUUCGAUUACACCAGUAAAGCCGCAAGGCGCUUCGGGAGGGGCCUGCGUACGAUUAGCUCGUUGGCGAGGUAACGGCUCACCAAGGCGACGAUCGUUAGGUGGUCUGAGAGGACGAUCACCCAGACUGGGACUGAGACACGGCCCAG
rnacentral:rRNA from 1 species